GGUUAGCUAAUUCGGAAGAGCGCUCGGCUUUUAUCCGUGUGGUCGUGGGUUCGAUCC
rnacentral:tRNA from 14 species